rnacentral:rRNA from 1 species
UAAGGAAUAUUGGGCAAUGAGCGCAAGCUUGACCCAGCGAGAAUUUAUGUGUGAAGAAGGCGUAGGUCGUAAAGCACUUUCGGAUAGAAAGAUAAUGACGGUACUAUAAGUAAAGAAGCACUGGCUAAGUCUGUGCCAGCAGCCGCGGUAAUACAGACAGUGCAAGCGUUAUUCGGAUUUAAUGGGCGUAAAGGGUAUGUAGGUUGUUCAAAAAACUAUAUUAAAAAGACUAGAGUAAUAACUUUAGUAAUAUUAUAAAGAUUAAUGAACUUAGAGUAAAUAAGGAGUAGGAGGAAUUUUUCAAGUAAACAGUAAAAUGUAAUCAUAUGAAAAGGACUACCAGAGGCGAAGGCAUCUAUCUAUUAUUUACUGACACUGAGGUACGAAAGCAUGGGGAGCAAAUCAGAUUAGAUACCCGUGUAGUCC